UGAGGAAUAUUGGGUCAAUGGGCGAGAGCCUGAACCAGCCAAGUAGCGUGCAGGACGACGGCCCUAUGGGUUGUAAACUGCUUUUGCGCGGGGAUAAAGUGCGCCACGUGUGGCUCAUUGCAGGUACCGCGCGAAUAAGGACCGGCUAAUUCCGUGCCAGCAGCCGCGGUGAUACGGAAGGUCCAGGCGUUAUCCGGAUUUAUUGGGUUUAAAGGGAGCGUAGGCCGCCCCUUAAGCGUGUUGUGAAAUGCCGCGGCUCAACCGUGGCACUGCAGCGCGAACUGGGGGGCUUGAGUGCACGCAACGCAGGCGGAAUUCGUGGUGUAGCGGUGAAAUGCUUAGAUAUCACGAAGAACUCCGAUUGCGAAGGCAGCUUGCGGGAGUGCGACUGACGCUGAAGCUCGAAGGUGUGGGUAUCGAACAGGAUUAGAUACCCUGGUAGU
rnacentral:rRNA from 1 species